GCAUAUCAAUAAGCGGAGGAAAAGAAACCAACAGGGAUUGCCUCAGUAACGGCGAGUGAAGCGGCAAAAGCUCAAAUUUGAAACCCUCGGGAUUGUAAUUUGAAGAUUUGGCAUUGGAGAAAGCUAACCCAAGUUGCUUGGAAUAGUACGUCAUAGAGGGUGACAACCCCGUCUGGCUAACCGUUCUCCAUGUAUUGCCUUAUCAAAGAGUCGAGUUGUUUGGGAAUGCAGCUCAAAGUGGGUGGUAAACUCCAUCUAAAGCUAAAUACUGGUGAGAGACCGAUAGCGAACAAGUACUGUGAAGGAAAGGUGAAAAGAACUUUGAAAAGAGAGUGAAAUAGUAUGUGAAAUUGUUGAUAGGGAAGGAAAUGAGUGGAGAGUGGCCGAGGUUUCAGCCGCCCCUCGUGGGCGGUGUACUGCCGACGCCGAGUCAUCGAUAGCGAGACGAGGGUUACAAAUGGGAGCGCCUUCGGGCGUUCUCCCCUAACCCUCCACACUGCCACCGACGACAUAAUCCACCCAUUUCACCCGUCUUGAU
rnacentral:rRNA from 1 species